GAUGAACGCUGGCGGCGUGCCUAAUACAUGCAAGUCGAGCGAACAGACGAGGAGCUUGCUCCUCUGACGUUAGCGGCGGACGGGUGAGUAACACGUGGAUAACCUGCCUAUAAGACUGGGAUAGCUUCGGGAAACCGGAGCUAAUACCGGAUAAUAUAUUGAACCGCAUGGUUCAAUAGUGAAAGACGGUUUUGCUGUCACUUAUAGAUGGAUCCGCGCCGCAUUAGCUAGUUGGUAAGGUAACGGCUUACCAAGGCAACGAUGCGUAGCCGACCUGAGAGGGUGAUCGGCCACACUGGAACUGAGACACGGUCCAGACUCCUACGGGAGGCAGCAGUAGGGAAUCUUCCGCAAUGGGCGAAAGCUUGACGGAGCAACGCCGCGUGAGUGAUGAAGGUCUUCGGAUCGUAAAACUCUGUUAUUAGGGAAGAACAAAUGUGUAAGUAACUAUGCACGUCUUGACGGUACCUAAUCAGAAAGCCACGGCUAACUACGUG
rnacentral:rRNA from 1 species